GAGUCUCACUCUGUUGCCUAGGCUGGAGUGCAGUGGCAUGAUCUUGGCUCACUGCAGCCUUUGCCUCCCAGGUUUAAGUGAUUCUCAUGCCUCAGUCUCCCAAGUAGCUGGGAUUACAGGAGCACACCACCACCCCCGGCUAAUCUUUGCAUUUUUAGUAGACAUGGGUUUCACCAUGUUGGCCAGGCUGGUCUAGAACUCCUGACCUCAAGUGAUCCACCCCCCUCAGCCUCCCAAAGUGCUGGGAUUACAGGCAUGAGCCACCACGCCGGCCUAGGAACGUACCUCUCACGCCCUCCCAGGGCUGCCUGGUCUAACAGGACAUCACUCUGGAUUCUCCAGUGGCACCUGACACAGGCUGCUGAUGGAAUUGUAGCACCUGUCCUGACAGGUCAGGGCUGGCUGACAGCGCCUCAGAAACUAAAGGCCACUUCUCUUCUGAGGAUUGCACCCUGCCUGGAGUGGGAGCUGAACUCUUCCUCUUCCUGGGUCUAGGGAUGGCAGGAGGUGGUAAUUCAGCAUUGUUUGUUUUUUCCUCUUACCUAUUGAGUGUGCAUUUUCUGUGUAAGAUCUCACUCACUCUGAAGAAUUGUUCUUAGUUUCAUUUUCAGAGCUAGGGUAUCAUACUUUGAUGAAUCAAAGCUAUAUAGAAACCUCACAAAGUCAGAUAAUUAAAUAUGUACCCUGUCUCCUUGGUGAUCUUGGCCAGGAUUUUCUGCAGUAAAUAUUGCCACUAUAUUCUCAUGUGCAAGCAGAAAGGACCACUGAAAUUAUAUGGCCUUAUGAUGAAUAACAUUGGAAAGCACCAGGGUAUUUGCUUCAUUUUGUCAACCUAUCCAAAUAGACGCGUUCUCUUUAUUGUGCCCUCUGCCAUAAAGUCAGUCAGUACUUCGCAGGUGUCCCAUGAACGUGUUAACAGAGAACUUCAUGAGUGUGUCUGUUUUAUACACAAUAUGCAAAGCUGAGAAACAUGUUACUAAUAUAAAACUGAGGGAGUAAAAGAAAAACCAUUCAAUUGGGCUAUUCUGCUUACUUAUGACAAAAAGGAAUUCAUUUGCACAGCUGGAUAUAUAAAAAUACCUGCAUUCCCCAUAUUUUUAUUUUUGAGCAGGAGUCUAUGGAAACCUAUGUCCUGAAGUUCUGGUGUAUUUUCUGGAAUUAUUGCAAUUAAUGAUUUUCAACCUUCUGUUCCCUUUUUCUUUUACUCAUUCUGUCUCUUUGAGUUCUGGGAAAUUCAGGGACCAUAUAUGCUUUAUUUUUACUAAAGUUAUACAUGCACAGAGUUGAGAGUCAUCUAUUCCCGCAAGAUUUGGUAUAAAAAUUACAAGCCUCAAUGCCCCAUUCCUCUUUCCACAGAGGCAACCAGAGGAUUAGACUGGUUCUUUCUGGUAGUUGGUCUUUGAAGAUGGCUUCCAAGGAACCGUAGCUCCCAGUGUUCAUACUGUUGUGACAUCUCCUCUCAUGCAGAAUCUGGGCUGGCCUGGUGGCUGGCUGUAGCCAAUAGAAUGCAGCAGGGUGACAUGACGGCAGUUCCAGGCAGAAGCCUUAGCAAGGUCUGCCAGCUCUUGCUUUUGCCUCCUAAGCUCCUGGGGGCAGAACUAUCACCUUGGGUCUCCCUUCUUCACUAUCCAGGGAAUUUCCAACUCCUCUGUUUUGUGUGGAAGCUCCUAUUUCUUGUGUUUUGUGUUCUGUAUUUGUUUAUUAUUUUUUGGUUUCCUCUUUCAUUUUGGUAGAGCACAUCCUCCAGUAGUUUCUGAAGAAAAACAUCUGCAGAAAGUGGUUUUUCCAGGCACCUAAUGCCUGCCAAUAUCUUUAUUUUACCUUCACAAGUGAUCAGUAGAUUAGAUAUAGGCCUAGAUUGAAAAUACAUGUCUUCAGAAUUUUUAAGGCAUUGCAAAGUUGUAUAAUAGCUUUCUGCAUUGUUGUUUGGAAGUCCAAAGCAUUCUAGCUCCUAGUUCUUUGCAUGUGGCCCACUUUUUCUCUUUAGAAGCUCUCACUUUCUCUCUUUUCCCCUGUUCUCUUGCUCCUGUGUUCCUCUAUAUUAUGAUAGUAUGACUUGGUAUAGGAUUAUUUUCACUCAGUAGUUUCUUACAACCUGAAAAUGUAUGUUCUGGAGUUCUGGGACAUUUUCUGGAAUUAUUGCAUUGUUUUUUUAUCCACCAUUCUCUCUUUUAUUCUUCCUGUCUCUACUUUCUGGAAGAGUAUUUCAAUUUUAUGUUUUAAUUAUUCCCUUAAUUUUGUAUUAAUGCUAUCCUAUUUUUAAUCCCCCAAAACUCUUUCUAGUUCUUAAAACAAUUGAGUGUUUUAUAGGAUGUUGUUCUUUUUUUAAUGGUUAAAACAUUUUCUUUGAUUUCUCUGAGGCUAUUAAAGACAGUAUUGGUGAAUUUCCUUCUCCCUACAUAGCUCUGUUUGCUCCACACUGCAUCUCGCUGUUUAUCUCUCUCUCUCUUCUGUGUUAGAGGUCUUUCCUAUGUGUUUGGCAAUCCUUGGUUAACUGUUCAUAUUUAAGAGUGGGCAUAAGAGUGCUGACUGGAAGCCCCCGAGAACAUAAGUGGAAAUGAUCAACUGUGAACUUAAUGGUUAGAUAAACUGGUUGGGCUUCUUAUCUGGGAAAUCUUUUGUGUGAGUGUCUUUAGGUCUUAUUUCUUGGGAAGAUAAAAAUUUACAGAAAAGGCUCCUUCCAGUCUUUUGCCUGGAGGAUAAAGACCAAGCUGCCAGCACACUGGGAACCAAGUUGGGGAAGAGGGCUGAGGUCUCAGCAUCUACUAUGCAUUAAUUGAUUUCAUCUCCUUCCCCUUGCAUGGCCCUCUUCCAGUGUUGUGGCCCAGGUCUCACUUUGUACCUGGUUCCCCUAGACCAGAAAAUCUGUUUUACUCUCACUAGAGAAUAAAUAUUUACCUUUUGAUUGGAGUGUGCUUUGCAGAGUAGAGGAAAGGAUAUGGCAUUCUGUCUGCUUCUUAAAAAAUACAAUAAAUCCUUUAUAUUUUCUCUCUCUUCACUCUCCCCUUUUGUUUCUGGAUGCCCCAAUUUCUGGGCCUUUUGAGCAUUUUAAAAUGUAAGUCAGUUGGAUAUCAGCUUAAUAUUCAGGUUUGUUUUCUGGUCUGCUGUUCUCCAUUCUUAUCUGCUUCUCAUCUUCCAUGUUAGAAAUGCCACACAUCACUUCUGAUCACAUCCCAUUGGUUGAAGCACACUCACAUGGCCCCAACUUCUCUGCAAAGGAGGCUGGGAUAGUUAGUCUUCCAGUGUAUAAUAAGAGAAACCAGUGUGGUGAGCAUGAAAUAUGGUUUCUGCCCUAAUCCUUUUAAUAUAAAACUGGUCAUGCUUGUUUGGAGGGGUCCAGAAGAGAAUGAUAGUAGAUUCUUGUGUUUAGUGGACUAUAUUUAUCUGGUACUUUGUCUGUAUUAUUUCAUGCAUCAAGAAAAGUUUAGUCAUCAUUGACUGUCCCAAACAUGUCAAACAUGGGGGUGGUCCUUAACAGUCGAUCAUGGCCAUCGAUGCUCAGAAUGCAGAGCAAGUGUUCUGGACUCAGACAAACUGGGUUCACGUAUAGAUUCCAUGAACUUCUAGCAUGUGACCUUGGCCAAGAUACUUAGCCUCUCCAUACCUCAGUUUCCUCAAUUGUUAGAUGGAUGAUACUGCUAGUACCUGCCCCAUUGUGGUAUUUGUGAGGAUUAAAGUAGUUAAUAUUUAGAAACAUAGUAACUUCUAUAUUAGUUGUUAUUGUUGUAUGUUAGAUUUACUGUUAUAUCUAUUUUUUCAUGCUUAGCCAGGAGGAACAUACUUUUAUUAUUAAUGUAAGCUACUUAUUUCAGAAUUGUGCCGCUAUCAAUUUCUGUGAUUAUGUAAUGCAGACUAGGCAGCAACUGAUUUAAUGAAUGAAGCUGAUUCAUUGCCCUGAAGCAAGCCAAGAAAGAAAAGUAUGAUUCCAUAGCCCUGCUGGGAAGUCGGCAGUGAUGAGUUCCUCACAAGCCAAGAGGAGCUCAGAAACGUUGGGAUGGCAAUUAGCUUACUGUGCAGAUCACUAAACACAAUGAGCUCUGAUUCUGUGCCAGUUCUGAGGCACGAGAAAGUCACAGAGCACAAGGAUGCCCAGCUUCUGUGUAACUAGGGGCUGGGGGUGACCACAGCUGCCAUCAGAACUGGCUGCAUGGUGCAGGGGAAAAAAUAAUUGACCUGGGUGUCUGAAGACCUGGAUUCCAGUUCUUCCUUCAAACAUCAGCAGAUACCUCUCAGUUCCCUAAAUGCGUAUAACUCUAUUCAGCUUUCAGAUUUCACAGUGAGACUAUAUUAUGGAUAUGGUCAUAAUCCUGAAAAAUCUUCUAGGAAUGUCCUAAGACUUGAGACUGGGGAACCCUGGUGUUCUUGGUCUUUGCAAGGACUUAAGUCUACAUGUUACAGCUUUUCUCCUGGUUAUGACCCUGAAACAAAGAACACCAUGCUGUCAUCUUCUGAGGAGAGAUGGGAGUCCAGGCCCCAUUCUCUCACUUACUACGUAUAUUAAAGAAGCUGAAGAAAGCUGAAGAAACCACUCUCUCCUGUGAAAUGCCAUUGGAACUCUGCUUAGGAAGAGGACUAACUUUGCAAAAAUAUCCUGCAAACCUGCUUAGAAUAGAUGAACCUUGAGGGCAGGGGUCAAAAUAUCAGAGGACAGGGAUGAACUACUCUGUCUGAAAAGAGAAGAGGUGGUUUCAUUUUUCUUUUUCUUUUCUUUUCUUUCUUUCUUUCUUUUUUUUUUUUUUUUUGAGACAGCAUCUCCCUUUGUUGCCCAAGCUGGAAUGCGGUGGUGUGAUCACUGUGGGCUCAACCUCUUGGGCUCAAGCGAUCCUUUCACUUCAGCCUCCUGAGUAGCUGGGACUACAGAUGGGGAGACUGUGGCUCAAUGAGGUCAAACAAUUUGCAAUCAGGGAGUAGGGAUGCUUUGAAUAUGGCCAUCAUCUCACUGGCUCACUGUGGGGGAGUGAUGCCAGGAGGACUUCUGUUCCACCAUCUUGCUGAUGUUACUCUCCCUCACUAAAACAUUGUGUGUGCAACUAGGGUCAUCUGGGCAGCUGGAACCCAUUCAAGAAACCACAUUGUUCCUGCUGUGACAAUUUCUCAGGCUUCCCUUGUUUUUGAUGACCUUGACAUUUAUGAGGAGAAACAUAUUGUUUUGGCACUCUCUUUUAGCUCUUUUGAAAUGCUUUCCAGAAAAGAAAGCAAGCAAUAAAGGUUACUUUGUCCCUGUG